rnacentral:tRNA from 1 species
GCCUGAGUGACUCAGUAUGUAAAGCAUCUGACUUUGGCUCAGAUCAUGAUCUCACGGUUCAUGGGUUCGAGUCCCACAUCGGGCU